UGUUGCUCAUGUAAUUGUAUAUUAAUGAUACCAAAAAAAAAAAAGGCCAUGCAGCUUCCACCUGGCCCUCCUAGGGUACUUCCUCUGGGGAAAUCCAUCCAUCAUGUAAGAAUUCCAACUACACUGAGACCACCAUGCUGGAAGGCCAGGUGCAGGUGCUGGUUGACAGCCCUGGCUGAGCUCCCAGUCAACACUCAGUAUCAACUGCCAACCUUGUAAGUGACUAUCAUUGUGAUCGUGGAUGUCCAAGCCAGCUGACCUCAGACUGCAUGAGAACCUCAGACAGGAACUUUCCAUUGGAGUCCUUCACAAAUUUAUGACCGCAAAACUGUAAGCAGAAUAAAAUGGUUUAAUCCACUAAAUUUGGCAAUUACUUGCUCAUAAUAAUAACAAGUAUAACUCGAAAAACUUAUGGAGCAAGGAACUGUGGAUAUCAUGGUGAUAGAGUAAGAAAGCAAGAAAAACAGGAGGUGGUAGAGAAUUAGAUGCUUAAAAUCAAGAUUCAGGAGAUGGUGAAGUUAUUGCUUAUGACAGUUUUCCCAACAAGUUAUGGCUCUUAGGCUUUUCAUCUUUAUUAUAUAUUUCUGUUCACAAUUUUAGCCAUUGGCAGUUUUAUUUUAUGCUUGUGAUUUCAAUGUUGUAUGAACAGGACGAAAGACCGUUUGCAUUUAUUUUCUCGUUUAUGAGAAAAUUGUCAGAAAAUGUCCUCUCACUCUUUAGGAUUGCUCUGAGGUCAGGAUUGCUGAAACUGUGUUGAUGUUCUAAUAUUUCCAUGAGAAGGAAAGGGAGUCUGGAAGGACACUGACACUGGGUAGUCAGGAAGACAGAAGGAAAACCAGUAGCACAUGGGGCCCACAAGCUGAGGGAAGAAAAGCUUCGAGGAUUGGUCAGCCCCCCGUGGAUCUCGGCUCUUUCAUCCAUACAAGGAUGCUGUAAUUAAAUGAGGCUCAUUCGGUCAAAUCCGCACAGUCCCCCUAACCUGCCCCUGCAAACCUGCCUUUAUCAACGGUAUUCUCGACCCUGGUCGCCCUUCCCGCGCUCCAGCGCCAGCUGAUCCUGACCUGAUCGGACUCCCGGGGCUCAAUUUCAACAUCACUCCCCCAACACAGCUCGACAUCAUCAAGCCAGAAUAUGUCGGUAACCUAAAGUUGGUGCUCAAGAAACAGUAUUUCCAGUGGAAUGAACAUGAUCUCAAGGUUAUAACCUCACCCAACGCCCAUCAGUGCCUCUGCUCGGCCUGUGCGGUCGGUACUGUGCACUGAAGGCUCAG